GAUGAACGCCGGCGGCGUGCCUAAUACAUGCAAGUCGAGCGAACAGACGAGGAGCUUGCUCCUCUGACGUUAGCGGCGGACGGGUGAGUAACACGUGGAUAACCUACCUAUAAGACUGGGAUAACUUCGGGAAACCGGAGCUAAUACCGGAUAAUAUAUUAAACCCAUGGGUCCAAUCUUGAAGGACGGUUUUGCGGUCACUAAUGGAUGGAUCCGCACCGCAUUAGUCAGUUGGUAAGGUAACGGCUUACCAAGGCAACGAUGCGUAGCCGACCUGAGAGAGUGAUCGCACACACUGAGUCUGAGACACGGUCCAGACUCCUACAGGAGGCAGCAGUAGGGAAUCUUGCGCAAUGGGCGAAAGCCUGACGGAGCAACGCCGCGUGAGUGAUGAAGGUCUUCGGAUCGUAAAACUCUGUUAUUAGAGAAGAACAAAUGUGUAAGUAACUAUGCACGUCUUGACGGUACCUAAUCAGAAAGCCACGGCUAACUACGUG
rnacentral:rRNA from 1 species